rnacentral:ncRNA from 2 species
GGUUGCACGCUGUACUCGCGGCGGCCCGGCCCUCGCCCGGGAGUGCGUGUGUGCGCGCGUGUGUGCGCGAGUGAGUGUGUGCGCGGGGUGCGCGCGCGGGCGGGAGUGGGCGCGCGCGGGGAAAGGCCCGAAAACACCUUAGUUUGCACCGAGAGACCAUUUGCAGCGGUGUCCCAGAAGCUUUUGUUGACAAUUCCAGUUUCCGAACAAAACAUUUCGGCAAUGGUGAGGGCUUCGAUCCCUUCUCUGAUUUGCUGUCAGCCAUGAACGGAUGGAUGUGAUGCCUGCUAGCCAAAAGG